rnacentral:rRNA from 1 species
UUCCUACGGGGGGGGAGCAGUAGGGAAUCWYCCGGCUAAKGGACGAAAGUCUGAACGGAGCAACGCCGCGUGAGUGAUGAAGGCUUUCGGGUCGUAAAACUCUGUUGUUAGGGAAGAACAAGUACAAGAGUAACUGCUUGUACCUUGACGGUACCUAACCAGAAAGCCACGGCUAACUACGUGCCAGCAGCCGCGGUAAUACGUAGGUGGCAAGCGUUAUCCGGAAUUAUUGGGCGUAAAGCGCGCGCAGGCGGUUUCUUAAGUCUGAUGUGAAAGCCCACGGCUCAACCGUGGAGGGUCAUUGGAAACUGGGGAACUUGAGUGCAGAAGAGAAAAGCGGAAUUCCACGUGUAGCGGUGAAAUGCGUAGAGAUGUGGAGGAACACCAGUGGCGAAGGCGGCUUUUUGGUCUGUAACUGACGCUGAGGCSSGAAAGCGUGGGRAGCAAACAGGAUUAGAUACCCGCGGUAGUCAA